GGUGAGAUUGGCUCUGAUGGACCUAAAGGAGACAGAGGAGAACCAGGCAUGACGGAGGAUGAGAUUCGGUCUUAUGUUCGAAGUGAGAUGAACCUGCAUUGUGCUUGUGGAGGUGUUCAGGAAGUUGAGAAACCUGUACAAGUGCAGG